GCGCGAGUGGCGGAAUUGGUAGACGCGCAGCCUUGAGGGGGCUGUGGGAGAAUUCCCGUGUGGGUUCGAGUCCCACCUCGCGCA
rnacentral:tRNA from 1 species